rfam:Corchorus olitorius cultivar O-4 contig09968, whole genome shotgun sequence.
UGGCUUAUGAUGAUAAUUUAAAUUAUCUUAGCGGAUUUCAGUGAGAUAUUAUUGUCAAUGAUCUGAUUGUUACACACACUGAGGCCU